rnacentral:lncRNA from 1 species
CGGAGACCCCGUAACUGCCCCUCCCUCACAGUGAGAACCCCUGCACCUGGGCUGGUUUCCGGCAUCUGGAACCAGGGCAUAAACGGAAAUGGCCUCUGCACAUUCUGAAAGCUGAUUCCAUUGCUUUCUGGCAGAAUCCUUUCUCCCAACCCCUCCAGGCUCACCAGUGAAGCCCCUUCCCUCCCAGCCACCCUGCAGCAUUCCUCCUGCCUUUCCUCAGUGUGGUCAGCGGGGGACCCGGAGCAGCUGCAGCCCACAAUGCAGCACAGGUAUCUCUGUGCCAACUCUGCACCAGUGACAACUAACCCCCAAAACUCACUCUCACAAAACCAGAGCCAGUAGUUCUUGGAGACACAAGCACGCACUUUAAUUAGUAGUUUAAAAGCAUUUGUCUUGUGAAAUAUAAUAAAUCCACAGGAAAAUCUGUAAAAUAUACAUGUAACAGUUUAAUGGCAUUUAAAUGAGCAUGUGUAUACCUGCCCUGAGUCAAGAGACAGAACGUGGCCGGACUCGAGGUCGCAGCAUCGUCUCCCUCCUGACAAAGGCUCUGCUGACCUCACUUGAAACCACUUCCUCGUGUUUAUUUCUACUCCCAUCACCCAGGCACAAACCCCUAAGCGUUUUAGUUUGGCUUUGCCUGUUUUUGAACUUUGUAUAAAUGGAACCAUAGGGCAUGAUUGCUCUGUGGCUGCUUUCAUUCCACUUGAUGUCUGUGAAAUUCGUCCCUGUUGUUGUUGUGUCUGUAGUGCAUUCACUUUCAUUGCUAGAUACUAAGCCAUUGUGUGAAUAUGCUACAACCUAUUUAUCCAUUUUCCUGAGAGCGAGGAUUUGCUUCUUUCCAGUUCGGGAUAUUAUGGACAAAGCUAGUGUGAACUUUCCCAUGUGUGUCCUGGGCAUGCACACAGAGUGCACGUGGACAGCUGAGCAGAAGCUCAUUGGACAGAAGCAGAAGGGACGAGAAUACAUGUCUCAGAUCGGGGCCAGCUCAGCCCCAGCUGCCGUCUCG